rnacentral:pre_miRNA from 1 species
UACUAAAUUUUUUUUAUCUAUUUCUACUGUUAAAAACUGACAUGGUUGACAAAAUAACCAAACAAUGACACGUGCUGAUGUAUAGAGACCAGAAUUUAACAGUAGAAAUGGAUGAAAUUUUUAACA